rnacentral:rRNA from 1 species
AUUGAACGCUGGCGGCAUGCUUUACACAUGCAAGUCGAACGGUAACAGGGAGCUUGCUCCGCUGACGAGUGGCGAACGGGUGAGUAAUGCGUCGGAACGUGCCGAGCAGUGGGGGAUAACGCAGCGAAAGUUGUGCUAAUACCGCAUACGUACUGAGGUAGAAAGUGGGGGACCUUCGGGCCUCACGCUAUUCGAGCGGCCGACGUCUGAUUAGCCAGUAGGUGAGGUAAAGGCUCACCUAGGCGACGAUCAGUAGCGGGUCUGAGAGGAUGAUCCGCCACACUGGGACUGAGACACGGCCCAGACUCCUACGGGAGGCAGCAGUGGGGAAUUUUGGACAAUGGGCGAAAGCCUGAUCCAGCCAUGCCGCGUGUCUGAAGAAGGCCUUCGGGUGGUAAAGGACUUUUGUCGGGGAGGAAAUCCCCAGCGUUAAUACCGCUGGGGGAUGACAGUACCUGAAGAAUAAGCACCGGCUAACUACGUGCCAGCAGCCGCAGUAAGAC